rnacentral:rRNA from 1 species
CACGUAGGGCGCGAGCGUUGUCCGGAAUUAUUGGGCGUAAAGAGCUCGUAGGCGGCCUGUUGCGUCCGCUGUGAAAGCCCGGGGCUUAACCCCGGGUCGGCAGUGGAUACGGGCAGGCUAGAGGUAGGUAGGGGAGAAUGGAAUUCCCGGUGUAGCGGUGAAAUGCGCAGAUAUCGGGAGGAACACCGGUGGCGAAGGCGGUUCUCUGGGCCUGUUCUGACGCUGAGGAGCGAAAGCGUGGGGAGCGAACAGG